rnacentral:rRNA from 1 species
CGCAGCCGCGGUAAUUCCAGCUCCAAUAGCGUAUAUUAAAGUUGUUGCAGUUAAAAAGCUCGUAGUUGAAUUUCGGGAUCAGCGCGUCGGUCGUGCCUCCGGUAUGCACUGGCGCCGCUGGUUUCUCCCUUCUGAGGAACCGUGAUGUCAUUAAUUUGGUGUUGCGGGAAAUCAGGACUGUUACUUUGAAAAAUUAGAGUGUUUAAAGCGGGCACGCGCUUGAAUACAUUAGCAUGGAAUAACGAAAUAGGACGUUCGAUCUUAUUUUGUUGGUUUCUAGGAUUGACGUAAUGAUUAAUAGGGAUAGUUGGGGGCAUUAGUAUUCAAUUGUCAGAGGUGAAAUUCUUGGAUUUAUUGAAGACUAACUACUGCGAAAGCAUUUGUCAAGGAUGUUUUCAUUAAUCAAGAACGAAAGUUAGGGGAUCGAAGACGAUCAGAUACCGUCGUAGUCUUAACCAUAAACUAUGCCGACUAGGGAUCGGGAUGAUGUUAAUUUUUAAUGUACUCAUUCGGCGCCUUA